rnacentral:rRNA from 1 species
AAUAGAUACCCGGGUAGUCCACGCCGUAAACGAUGAGUGCUAAGUGUUAGAGGGUUUCCGCCCUUUAGCGCUGCAGCUAACGCAUUAAGCACUCCGCCUGGGGAGUACGGCCGCAAGGCUGAAACUCAAAGGAAUUGACGGGGGCCCGCACAAGCGGUGGAGCAUGUGGUUUAAUUCGAAGCAACGCGAAGAACCUUACCAGGUCUUGACAUCCUCUGCCAACCCUAGAGAUAGGGCGUUCCCCUUCGGGGGACAGAGUGACAGGUGGUGCAUGGUUGUCGUCAGCUCGUGUCGUGAGAUGUUGGGUUAAGUCCCGCAACGAGCGCAACCCUUGAUCUUAGUUGCCAGCAUUCAGUUGGGCACUCUAAGGUGACUGCCGGUGACAAACCGGAGGAAGGUGGGGAUGACGUCAAAUCAUCAUGCCCCUUAUGACCUGGGCUACACACGUGCUACAAUGGAUGGUACAAAGAGUAGCGAACCCGCGAGGGUAAGCCAAUCUCAUAAAGCCAUUCUCAGUUCGGA